CCUACGGGGGGCAGCAGUAGGGAAUAUUGCUCAAUGGGGGAAACCCUGAAGCAGCAACGCCGCGUGGAGGAUGAAGGUUUUCGGAUUGUAAACUCCUUUUGUUAGUGAAGAUAAUGACGGUAUCUAACGAAUAAGCACCGGCUAACUCCGUGCCAGCAGCCGCGGUAAUACGGAGGGUGCAAGCGUUACUCGGAUUUACUGGGCGUAAAGAGUGCGUAGGCGGGAUAGCAAGUCAGAUGUGAAAUCCUAUGGCUUAACCAUAGAACUGCAUUUGAAACUGUUAGUCUAGAGUAUGGGAGAGGUAGGUGGAAUUCUUGGUGUAGGGGUAAAAUGCGUAGAGAUCGAGAGGAAUACUAAUUGCGAAGGCGACCUGCUGGAACAUAACUGACGCUGAUGCGCGAAAGCGUGGGGAGCAAACAGGAUUAGAUACCCGAGUAGUC
rnacentral:rRNA from 1 species